rnacentral:rRNA from 1 species
AUUGAACGCUGGCGGCAGGCCUAACACAUGCAAGUCGAACGAGUGGCGGACGGGUGAGUAAUGUCUGGGAAACUGCCUGAUGGAGGGGGAUAACUACUGGAAACGGUAGCUAAUACCGCAUACCAUCAGAUGUGCCCAGAUGGGAUUAGCUUGUUGGUGGGGUAACGGCUCACCAGGGCGACGAUCCCUAGCUGGUCUGAGAGGAUGACCGGCAACACUGGAACGGGGAAACGGUCCAGACUCCUACGGGAGGAGGAAGUGGGGAAUAUUGGACAAUGGGGGAAAGCCUGAUGCAGCAAUGCCGCGUGUAUGAAGAGGGCCUUCGGGUUGUAAAGUACUUUCAGCGGGGCGGCGUUACCCGCAGAAGAAGCACCGGCUAACUCCGUGCCAGCAGCCGCGGUAAUUC